AUUGAACGCUGGCGGCAGGCCUAACACAUGCAAGUCGAGCGAGCGGCGGACGGGUGAGGACUGUAUGGGGACUGCCCGAUAGCGGGGGAUAACUACUGGAAACGGUAGCUAAUACCGCAUCCUAUCGGAUAACCCAUAUGGGAUUAGCUAGUAGGUGAGGUAAUGGCUAACCUAGGCGACGAGCCCUAGCUGGUCUGCGAGGAUGCUCAGCCACACUGGGACUGAGACACGGCCCAGACUCCUACGGAGGCAGCAGUGGGGAAUAUUGGAAAAUGGGGGCAAGCCUGAUGCAGCAAUGCCGCGUGUAUGAAGAAGGCCCUAGGGUUGUAAAGUACCUUCAUUCGGGAGGCGUUACCGACAGAAGAAGCACCGGCUAACUCCGUGCCAGCCGCCGCGGUAAUAC
rnacentral:rRNA from 1 species